GUGGGGAAUCUUAGACAAUGGGGGAAACCCUGAUCUAGCCAUGCCGCGUGAGCGAUGAAGGCCUUAGGGUUGUAAAGCUCUUUCAGCUGGGAAGAUAAUGACGGUACCAGCAGAAGAAGCCUCGGCUAACUCCGUGCCAGCAGCCGCGGUAAUACGGAGGGGGCUAGCGUUGUUCGGAAUUACUGGGCGUAAAGCGCACGUAGGCGGAUCAGAAAGUCAGAGGUGAAUUCCCAGGGCUCAACCGUGGAACUGCCUUUGAAACUCCUGGUCGUGAGGUCGAGAGAGGUGAGUGGAAUUCCGAGUGUAGAGGUGAAAUGCGUAGAUAUUCGGAGGAACACCAGUGGCGAAGGCGGCUCACUGGCUCGAUACUGACGCUGAGGUGCGAAAGCGUGGGGAGCAAACAGGAUUAGAUACCCCGGUAGUCC
rnacentral:rRNA from 1 species